AUUGAACGCUGGCGGCAUGCCUAACACAUGCAAGUCGAACGGUUUAUGGAGCUUGCUUCAUAGAUAGUGGCGGACGGGUGAGUAAAAUGUAGGAAUCUGCCUUGAGGAGGGGGAUAACUUGGGGAAACUCAAGCUAAUACCGCGUAAGUCGGAGACGAGAAAGCAGGGGACCGAAAGGCCUUGCGCCUUAAGAUGAGCCUACAUCGGACUAGCUAGUUGGUGGGGUAAAGGCCUACCAAGGCGAUGAUCCGUAGCUGGUCUGAGAGGAUGACCAGCCACACUGGGACUGAGACACGGCCCAGACUCCUACGGGAGGCAGCAGUGGGGAAUAUUGGACAAUGGGGGAAACCCUGAUCCAGCAAUGCCGCGUGUGUGAAGAAGGCCUUCGGGUUGUAAAGCACUUUCAGUGGGGAAGAAGGAUGUAUGGUUAAUACCCAUGCAUUUUGACGUUAACCACAGAAGAAGCACCGGCUAACUCUGUGCCAGCAGCCGCCGUAA
rnacentral:rRNA from 1 species